rnacentral:rRNA from 1 species
CAGUAGCCGCGGUAAUACGUAUGUCACGAGCGUUAUCCGGAUUUAUUGGGCGUAAAGCGCGUCUAGGUGGUUAUAUAAGUCUGAUGUGAAAAUGCAGGGCUCAACUCUGUAUUGCGUUGGAAACUGUAUAACUAGAGUACUGGAGAGGUAAGCGGAACUACAAGUGUAGAGGUGAAAUUCGUAGAUAUUUGUAGGAAUGCCGAUGGGGAAGCCAGCUUACUGGACAGAUACUGACGCUGAAGCGCGAAAGCGUGGGUAGCAAACAGGAUUAGAGACCCCUGUAGUCCCUGUCUCUUAUACA